UGCUGCUUUUCUUUAAGAAGUUUCUUUUUCAUAGCAGUCAAACCAAUGUGUAAAAACAGAAUAAUUUGGUUCUCAUAUUCAAUUGUAAGCACAUUGAAAGGGCCGUGGAACAUUUGCAGUGGCCUUUAGUGUAUCAGAACAUAGUUUAGGUCUGCCGGGCAAACUAAGGCACGUACUUUUUAAAUGAAUGCCUCCCUUCAGCCAGGGCAACCCAGAAUAGUAGACAGUUGCUGGACAGGAAUUAGGAGACCUGUAUUCUAGACCAGCCUGACUACCAUUUCAAGGGUCUGACUUGGAACAAAUCACUUUAGUUCUCUGAACCUUAAUAUCCCUUUGUAAGGUGAGGAACUCAGAUAAGGCGAUUACAAAGGUGUUUCAAGUGAUUUUCCGUUUUAUUCAUCUGAUUGCCCAGAUGACCAUUAACCAGGAAUUUAGGGAAAAUGCUUUUUUCCAUCAGUGUCUGAGCUUCUCAACCUCAGCUCUAACAACAAGUUUUAGAAAUGUUUUUGUAGUGGGAAGGGGACGCGCGCCUUGCGGCCAGGCCUGUAGUCAUCGUUCUCGCCGCAGCGGCCAACACCACCGCCCCUGCCACCCCUCCCAGACUGUGGACGGGAGGAUGGAGUCGAUGGCCGUCGCUACCGACGGCGGGGAGAGGCCGGGGGUCCCAGCAGGCUCAGGCCUGUCGGCCUCCCAGCGUCGGGCUGAGCUGCGUCGGAGAAAGCUGCUCAUGAACUCCGAACAGCGCAUCAACCGGAUCAUGGGCUUUCACAGGCCCGGGAGCGGCGCAGAAGAAGAAAGUCAAACAAAAUCAAAGCAGCAGGACAGUGAUAAACUGAACUCCCUCAGCGUUCCUUCAGUUUCAAAGCGAGUAGUGCUGGGUGAUUCAGUCAGUACAGGAACAACUGACCAGCAGGGUGGUGUGGCCGGGAUAAAGGGGACCCAACUGGGAGACAAAUUGGACUCUUUCAUUAAACCACCUGAGUGCAGUAAUGAUGUCAACCUUGAGCUCCGGCAGCGGAACAGAGGGGACUUGACAGCGGACUCAGUCCAGAGGGGUGCCCGCCAUGGCCUAGAGCAGUACCUUUCCAGAUUUGAAGAAGCAAUGAAGCUAAGGAAACAGCUGAUUAGUGAAAAACCCAGUCAAGACGAUGGAAGUACAACAGAAGAAUUUGACUCUUCGAAUAUUUAGAUUGGUGGGAUGUGCUCUUCUUGCUCUUGGAGUCAGAGCUUUUGUUUGCAAAUACUUGUCCAUAUUUGCUCCAUUUCUUACUUUGCAACUUGCGUACAUGGGAUUAUACAAAUAUUUUCCCAAGAGUGAAAAGAAGAUAAAGACAACAGUACUAACAGCUGCACUUCUAUUAUCGGGAAUUCCUGCUGAAGUGAUAAAUCGAUCAAUGGAUACCUAUAGCAAAAUGGGCAAAGUCUUCACAGAUCUCUGUGUCUACUUUUUCACCUUUAUCUUUUGUCAUGAACUGCUUGAUUAUUGGGGCUCUGAAGUACCAUGAAGCCUGCAGAACUGAGAAGGAGAAGCUUACAAAAAAAAAAAAAAAUCCUCUUUUAUAUUGCAGUGUCUCUAAAGGAGGCAAAUUGGUUUACACCUUCAUGUAAUUCUUUUA